UUAAAGGAAACACAUUUUGAAACAAAAGUUAAAACCAUCUGUACACAGACAGGAUGUUCGUCAUCUGCAGAAGAAAAAAAUGAGAAUGACAGGGAAUGUCCCAAGGACUGGAAAAAAUUCUCAGGAAACUGUUAUAGGCUUCUGUCGGACAAAAAGAACUGGGUUUCAGCAAAGAGCGCAUGCAAAUCGUUCAAGGCAAAUUUGGCUGACAUAACAUCAAAAAGUGAAAAUCUAUGGAUUCAUAAGACAUUCAAAGAUUUAAAAGAGAUCGCUUGGAUUGGCGCUGCAGACAUAACAAAGGAGGGGGAGUGGAGGUGGUCCUCCUCUGGAAAGGUGUUGACGUAUAAUGCUUGGGGUAAAGGACAACCCGACAAUGCAGGAGGCAAAGAAGAUUGUGCGUAUGUUUAUGAACAUAAAGGAAAACUUGUUUGGAAUGAUCAAACAUGCAGUGACAAAUUUCGAUUUUUGUGCAAGAAAAAGGCAUAAAACAAGGUGAAGGAACAAUUCAUAUCACUAGGAUGAGUGUCGAAGUUCAAAAUUGUCUUGGAACUAAAUUGUAAAUUAAAACUUGUAACACCAA